AGAGUUUGAUCCUGGCUCAGGAUGAACGCUGGCGGCAUGCCUAAUACAUGCAAGUCGAACGAGAGGAAGGAAAGCUUGCUUUUCUGAAUCUAGUGGCGAACGGGUGAGUAACACGUAGGUAACCUGCCCAUGUGCCCGGGAUAACUUCUGGAAACGGAUGCUAAAACCGGAUAGGUAGCAGACAAGCAUUUGACUGCUAUUAAAGUGGCUAAGGCCAUGAACAUGGAUGGACCUGCGGUGCAUUAGCUAGUUGGUGAGGUAACGGCCCACCAAGGCGACGAUGCAUAGCCGGCCUGAGAGGGCGGACGGCCACAUUGGGACUGAGACACGGCCCAAACUCCUACGGGAGGCAGCAGUAGGGAAUUUUCGUCAAUGGGGGGAACCCUGAACGAGCAAUGCCGCGUGAGUGAAGAAGGUCUUCGGAUCGUAAAGCUCUGUUGUAAGAGAAAAACGACAUUCAUAGGGAAUGAUGAGUGAGUGAUGGUAUCUUACCAGAAAGUCACGGCUAACUACGUGCCAGCAGCCGCGGUAAUACGUAGGUGGCGAGCGUUAUCCGGAAUGAUUGGGCGUAAAGGGUGCGUAGGUGGCAGAACAAGUCUGGAGUAAAAGGUAUGGGCUCAACCCGUACUGGCUCUGGAAACUGUUCAGCUAGAGAACAGAAGAGGACGGCGGAACUCCAUGUGUAGCGGUAAAAUGCGUAGAUAUAUGGAAGAACACCGGUGGCGAAGGCGGCCGUCUGGUCUGUUGCUGACACUGAAGCACGAAAGCGUGGGGAGCAAAUAGGAUUAGAUACCCUAGUAGUCCACGCCGUAAACGAUGAGAACUAGGUGUUGGGGGAAUAACUCAGUGCCGCAGUUAACGCAAUAAGUUCUCCGCCUGGGGAGUAUGCACGCAAGUGUGAAACUCAAAGGAAUUGACGGGGGCCCGCACAAGCGGUGGAGUAUGUGGUUUAAUUCGAAGCAACGCGAAGAACCUUACCAGGCCUUGACAUCCCUUGCAGAGGUAUAGAGAUAUAUCCGAGGUUAUCAAGGAGACAGGUGCUGCAUGGUUGUUGUCAGCUCGUGUCGUGAGAUGUGGGGUUAAGUCCCGCAACGAGCGCAA
rnacentral:rRNA from 1 species